CGUAGGGGGCAAGCGUUGUCCGGAAUUAUUGGGCGUAAAGGGCGCGCAGGCGGCCUCUUAAGUCAGUUGUGAAAAGGUCCCGGCUCAACCGGGGAGUUGCAGCUGAAACUGGGGGGCUUGAGUGCAGGAGAGGAGAGUGGAAUUCUCGGUGUAGCGGUGGAAUGCGUAGAGAUCGGGAGGAACACCAGUGGCGAAGGCGGCUCUCUGGCCUGUUACUGACGCUGAGGCGCGAAAGCGUGGGGAGCGAACAGGAUU
rnacentral:rRNA from 1 species